rnacentral:rRNA from 1 species
AGUGAACGCUGGCGGUAGGCCUAACACAUGCAAGUCGAACGGCAGCACAGUAAGAGCUUGCUCUUACGGGUGGCGAGUGGCGGACGGGUGAGGAAUACAUCGGAAUCUACUUUUUCGUGGGGGAUAACGUAGGGAAACUUACGCUAAUACCGCAUACGACCUACGGGUGAAAGCAGGGGAUCUUCGGACCUUGCGCGAUUGAAUGAGCCGAUGUCGGAUUAGCUGGUUGGCGGGGUAAAGGCCCACCAAGGCGGCGAUCCGUAGCUGGUCGGAGAGGAUGAGCGGCCAGGCUGGAACUGAGACACGGGCCAGACUCCUACGGGAGGCAGCAGUGGGGAAUAUUGGACAAUGGGCGCAAGCCUGAUCCAGCCAUACCGCGUGGGUGAAGAAGGCCUUCGGGUUGUAAAGCCCUUUUGUUGGGAAAGAAAAGCAGCAGGUUAAUACCCCGCUGUUCUGACGGUACCCAAAGAAUAAGCACCGGCUAACUUCGUG